rnacentral:rRNA from 1 species
CGGACGGGUGAGUAACGCGUGGGUAACCUGCCUUGCACUGGGGGAUAACACUUAGAAAUAGGUGCUAAUACCGCAUAAGCGCACAGUCCUGCAUGGGACAGUGUGAAAAACUCCGGUGGUGCAAGAUGGACCCGCGUCUGAUUAGCUGGUUGGCGGGGUAAAGGCCCACCAAGGCGACGAUCAGUAGCCGGCCUGAGAGGGUGGUCGGCCACAUUGGGACUGAGACACGGCCCAAACUCCUACGGGAGGCAGCAG